rnacentral:rRNA from 1 species
AAGAAUUUAAAAGUCGAACAGACUUAUUUUAUUGAACUUCUACACCCAAUAAUAUCUCUUAAUCCAACAUCGAGGUCGCAAUCUUUUUUAUCGAUAUGAACUCUCUAAAAAAAUUACG